GCUGCGUGCAGUGGCACAUGCCUGUAGUCCCGGCUACACGGGAGGCUGAGGCUAGAGGAUUGUUUGAGCCCAGGAGUUCUGGGCUGUAGUGUGCUAUGCUAAUUUGCUGUCUGCACGAAGUUCGGCAUCAAUAUGGUGACCUCCCGGGAGCAGGGGACCACCAGGUUGCCUAAGGAGGGGUGAACCGGCCCAGGUCAGAAAUGCAGCAAGUCAAAACUCCCGUGCUGACCAGUAGUGGGAUUGCGUCUGUGAAUAGCCACUGCACUCCAACCAGCCUGGGCAACAUAGCAAGAUACCAUCUCUU
ensembl:misc_RNA Metazoa_SRP Metazoan signal recognition particle RNA